CCUACGGGAGGCUGCAGUGAGGAAUAUUGGUCAAUGGGCGCAGGGCUGAACCAGCCAAGUCGCGUGAGGGAUGACGGUCCUAUGGAUUGUAAACCUCUUUUGUCGGGGAGCAAAAGACGCCACGCGUGGCGUUCCGCGAGUACCCGAAGAAAAAGCAUCGGCUAACUCCGUGCCAGCAGCCGCGGUAAUACGGAGGAUGCGAGCGUUAUCCGGAGUUAUUGGGUUUAAAGGGUGCGCAGGCGGAAGAUCAAGUCAGCGGUAAAAUUGAGGGGCUCAACCUCUUCGAGCCGUUGAAACUGGUUUUCUUGAGUGAGCGAGAAGUAUGCGGAAUGCGGGGUGUAGCGGUGAAAUGCAUAGAUAUCACGCAGAACUCCGAUUGCGAAGGCAGCAUACCGGCGCUCAACUGACGCUCAUGCACGAAAGUGUGGGUAUCGAACAGGAUUAGAUACCCUUGUAGUC
rnacentral:rRNA from 1 species